rnacentral:rRNA from 1 species
GACGAACGCUGGCGGCGUGCUUAACACAUGCAAGUCGAACGGAAAGGCCCUGCUUGCCGGGUACUCGAGUGGCGAACGGGUGAGUAACACGUGGGUGAUCUGCCCUGCACUUCGGGAUAAGCCUGGGAAACUGGGUCUAAUACCGGAUAGGAGCCAUUUUUAGUGUGAUGGUUGGAAAGUUUUUUCGGUGUAGGAUGAGCUCGCGGCCUAUCAGCUUGUUGGUGGGGUAAUGGCCUACCAAGGCGGCGACGGGUAGCCGGCCUGAGAGGGUGGACGGCCACAUUGGGACUGAGAUACGGCCCAGACUCCUACGGGAGGCAGCAGUGGGGAAUAUUGCACAAUGGGCGCAAGCCUGAUGCAGCGACGCCGCGUGGGGGAUGACGGCCUUCGGGUUGUAAACUCCUCUCGCUAGGGACGAAGCUUUUUGUGACGGUACCUAGAUAAGAAGCACCGGCUAACUACGUG